UCCUACGGGAGGCAGCAGUGGGGAAUAUUGGACAAUGGGCGCAAGCCUGAUCCAGCCAUGCCGCGUGAGUGAUGAAGGCCCUAGGGUUGUAAAGCUCUUUCACCGGUGAAGAUAAUGACGGUAACCGGAGAAGAAGCCCCGGCUAACUUCGUGCCAGCAGCCGCGGUA
rnacentral:rRNA from 1 species